GUCCAGCUGAAGAGUCUCAAAUAGGACGGAACGUGUGUCUUAGAU
rfam:Schistosoma rodhaini strain Burundi genome assembly, scaffold: SROB_scaffold0008681